AUUGAACGCUGGCGGCAGGCCUAACACAUGCAAGUCGAGCGAGCGGCGGACGGGUGAGUCAUGCCUGGGAAUUGCCCAGUCGAGGGGGAUAACAGUUGGAACGACUGCUCAUACCGCAUACGAUUGGAUUGCCCAGGUGGGCUUAGCUAGUUGGUGAGGUAAGGGCUCACCAAGGCGACGAUCCCUAGCUAGUCUUAGAGGAUGAUCGACCGCACUGGAACUGCGACACAGUGCAGACUCCAACGGGAGGCAGCAGUGGGGAAUAUUGCACAAAGGGGGAAACCCUGAUGCAGCCAUACCGCGUGUGUGAAGAAGGCCUUCGGGUUGUAAAGCACUUUCAGCGAGGAGGCGUUACUAGCAGAAGAAGAACCGGCUAACUCCGUGCCAGCCGCCGCGGUAAUUC
rnacentral:rRNA from 1 species